CCCGCACAAGCGGUGGAGCAUGUGGUUUAAUUCGACGCAACGCGCAGAACCUUACCAGCCCUUGACAGUGGGGGUCGCGGAGACCAGAGAUGGACUCCAUCAGUUCGGCUGGACCCCACACAGGUGCUGCAUGGCUGUCGUCAGCUCGUGUCGUGAGAUGUUGGGUUAAGUCCCGCAACGAGCGCAACCCUCGUCUUCAGUUGCCAGCGGUUCGGCCGGGCACUCUGAAGAAACUGCCGGUGACAAGCCGGAGGAAGGUGGGGAUGACGUCAAGUCCUCAUGGCCCUUACGGGCUGGGCUACACACGUGCUACAAUGGCGGUGACAAUGGGAUGCAAUGGGGCGACCCUGAGCUAAUCUCAAAAAGCCGUCUCAGUUCGGAUUGUACUCUGCAACUCGAGUGCAUGAAGGUGGAAUCGCUAGUAAUCGCGGAUCAGAACGCCGCGGUGAAUACGUUCCCGGGCCUU
rnacentral:rRNA from 1 species